CACGUAGGGCGCAAGCGUUGUCCGGAAUUAUUGGGCGUAAAGAGCUCGUAGGCGGACUGUUGCGUCUGCUGUGAAAAGCUGGGGCUUAACCCUGGCCUUGCAGUGGAUACGGGCAGACUAGAGGUAGGUAGGGGAGAAUGGAAUUCCCGGUGUAGCGGUGAAAUGCGCAGAUAUCGGGAGGAACACCGGUGGCGAAGGCGGCAUCCUGGACCAAUUCUGACGCUGAGUGAGCGAAAGCCAGGGGAGCAAACGGG
rnacentral:rRNA from 1 species